rnacentral:misc_RNA from 1 species
UCGUAACAAGGUCUCCGUUGGUGAACCAGCGGAGGGAUCAUUACCGAGUUUACAACUCCCAAACCCCUGUGAACAUACCUAUACGUUGCCUCGGCGGAUCAGCCCGCGCCCCGUAAAAAGGGACGGCCCGCCCGAGGACCCCUAAACUCUGUUUUUAGUGGAACUUCUGAGUAAAACAAACAAAUAAAUCAAAACUUUCAACAACGGAUCUCUUGGUUCUGGCAUCGAUGAAGAACGCAGCAAAAUGCGAUAAGUAAUGUGAAUUGCAGAAUUCAGUGAAUCAUCGAAUCUUUGAACGCACAUUGCGCCCGCCAGUAUUCUGGCGGGCAUGCCUGUUCGAGCGUCAUUUCAACCCUCAAGCUCAGCUUGGUGUUGGGACUCGCGGUAACCCGCGUUCCCCAAAUCGAUUGGCGGUCACGUCGAGCUUCCAUAGCGUAGUAAUCAUACACCUCGUUACUGGUAAUCGUCGCGGCCACGCCGUAAAACCCCAACUUCUGAAUGUUGACCUCGGAUCAGGUAGGAAUACCCGCUGAACUUAAGCAUAUCAAUAA